rfam:Vitis vinifera, whole genome shotgun sequence of line PN40024, unoriented chromosome 15, chr15
AUAUCUUUCUCGGCCUUUUGGGUAAGAUCAAGUGUAGUAUCUGUUCUUAUCAGUUUAAUGAUACGUGGGAUAUCGUCCCACAUGAUAUUGAAUUAAUUUUUUUAGGGGGAGGUCCCACCACAAUAGCUUGCUAUUGGGGUCCUCAUGCGUCGCCCUUAAGUUGCACUAUUGCUCGGGCCUGGCGCACCCCUC